UCCCUGAUUUGGUUGCCAAUGCAA
rnacentral:siRNA from 1 species